UAGAUUUGUUAAUCUCGUUUUAGUGACACUCAUAAUUUAUGAGUGGAGAGACCUGAAAAAUAAAGCCCGUAGCCGUGCUUGUGCCCUUCUCCAGGGUGCAUGCUGGCUGAUCUGAGUGGCAGGGGUAGUUGCGGGUGGGGAAGAGAGACACAGACAGCGAAAGAAUAAACGUGCGGCAGUCACACAAUCUUACCUCCGGGACGAAAGGACACGGUUCCUAGAACUGAGAUUUCCAUAGCCCGUCUGCAUCCCAGCUGUUUUUCCCGUAGGCGCUUUUCUGCCUAACACCGCCUUCUGACUAACUUGGACAAGGCUGGAGCUUCCCCCCUCCUUUUUUUCUCCUUUUUUUUUUUUUUCUUUCCAGACAUUCCCUAAACUCAACCCAGGGCAAAUCCAGAAGUCGGUACAGUACAGAGCUUCCAUUCAAUCGUGGGGGGGAAAUCCCGUUUACAGUUUAUCUUAGGCAGAUGGAAGAAGUAGAUGGUUACAGGACUUUGGCAGAGUGCGUGGGGAUGGCAUGGGGUGUUGGUGUCAGGGAAGCGCGAUUUCUCUUAGGUUUUGGUGCUGCAGGAACAAAGGGAAUGUGGAAAUGAAAGAGAGAGGGAGAGAGAGGCUGGCAGAUGUAAUGAGACGCGGUGAAGGUGUACGCAGACUGGCACUCCCACUCCUCCCUUCUGCUCUCACUGCAGCCCUGGGUAACUCGCAGGCUAACACAAACAGCUUUUCUCCCGCAGCCUGCCCUCUGUCACUGUAAGUACAUCAGCCUUCUCUUAUCAGCAUGCAGAUUCCAGCCAUGCACUCCCUUAGCCUGGCUUUGCACCUUAGACAGCAGAAGCGCAUUUAAAAAUUAACUUUCCUAAGCUAGGAAAGGCAUGUCUGUGAAACUUAUUUUUGAUUUAUCUUUAUUUUUCUUUGGAAAAAAGUUCAUGCAUUUUUACCACUUUUUCCCCACCUCCUUUGUGGCGGUGCUCUGCCGCUA
rnacentral:lncRNA from 1 species